rnacentral:rRNA from 1 species
CCUACUGGCGGCAGCAGUGAGGAAUAUUGGUCAAUGGGCGGAAGCCUGAACCAGCCAAGUAGCGUGCGGGAUGAAGGCCCUAUGGGUCGUAAACCGCUUUUGCACGGGGAUAACACCCUCCACUUGUGGAGGUCUGCAGGUACCGUGCGAAUAAGGGCCUGCUAAUUCCGUGCCAGCAGCCGCGGUACUACGGACGGCCCGGGCGUUAUCCGGAUUCAUGGGGCUUAAAGGGAGCGUAGGCGGGCCUUCAAGUCCGCUGUAAAAUCGAGCGGCUCAACCGCGCCCCGCAGUUGACACUGGACGCCUUGAGUUCACAACAGGCAGGCGGAAUUUGUGGUGUAGCGGUGAAAUGCAUAGAUAUCACGAGGAACCCCGAUUGCGAAGGCAGCCUGCCGGGGUGCGACUGACGCUGAGGCUCGAAGGUGCGGGUAUCAAACAGGAUUAGAUACCCCUGUAGUC